CCUACGGGAGGCAGCAGUAAGGAAUAUUGGUCAAUGGGCGCAAGCCUGAACCAGCCAUGCCGCGUGCAGGAUGACGGCCCUCUGGGUUGUAAACUGCUUUUAUACGGGAAGAACAGCAUCUACGUGUAGGUGUUUGACGGUACUGUAAGAAUAAGGACCGGCUAACUUCGUGCCAGCAGCCGCGGUAAUACGAAGGGUCCAAGCGUUAUCCGGAUUUAUUGGGUUUAAAGGGUGCGUAGGCGGCUUUUUAAGUCAGUGGUGAAAGCCUGAUGCUCAACAUCAGAACUGCCAUUGAUACUGAAGAGCUUGAGUACAGUUGAGGUUGGCGGAAUGUGUCAUGUAGCGGUGAAAUGCUUAGGUAUGACACAGAACACCGAUUGCGAAGGCAGCUAGCUAAGCUGUUACUGACGCUGAUGCACGAAAGCGUGGGGAGCAAACAGGAUUAGAUACCCUGGUAGUCCACGCCCUAAACCGUUGAUAACUCGUUGUUAGCGAUAUACUGUUAGCGACCAAGCGAAAGCAUUAAGUUAUCCACCUGGGAAGUACGGUGCAAGAUUGAAACUCAAAGAUUAGACGGACGNGAGAGAGCGACGGACGACGACGAGGGAGGGAGG
rnacentral:rRNA from 1 species